GUUCCCAUAGUUAAACGGAUAUAACAUUCCCCUCCUAAGGGAAAAUUAGGGGUUCGAUUCCCUUUGGGAACGCCA
rnacentral:tRNA from 1 species